UUAAAAAGCUCGUAGUUGAACCUUGGGCCUGGCUGGCNGGUCCGCCUCACCGCGUGCACUGGUUCGGCCGGGCCUUUCCCUCUGGGGAACCUCAUGCCCUUCACUGGGUGUGAUGGGGAACCAGGACUUUUACUGUGAAAAAAUUAGAGUGUUCAAAGCAGGCCUAUGCUCGAAUACAUUAGCAUGGAAUAAUAGAAUAGGACGUGUGGUUCUAUUUUGUUGGUUUCUAGGACCGCCGUAAUGAUUAAUAGGGACAGUCGGGGG
rnacentral:rRNA from 1 species